AGGACGGCAAACGUCCUCUGCUUUGGGGAGAGGCAGGGCUGAGAGCAGAUGCUCUCGCUGCUGGGACCCCCCUCUUAGAGGCAGACCUCCUGUGGGUGGACGGCUCCUGCGUCAGGGCAGCGGACGUAGAAUGCGAAUGCGGCCAGGCUGAGCUGAGAAGACAACUCCAGCUGCCCCCUGCCCGCCCUCCACCCCACCCCCACCUCCUGGAAGGAAGGGCUCCGGGUUCCUCUGGAGCAAGGAGCUUCUCUAAAAAUACACCCUGCUCCUUAAGCCUUUUCCUCCUCCGGCCCCCUGCAGAGGAGACGAGGAGUUGGUCUCCCUCUCAGAAGGGCCAUCUCGCUUCACACCACCCCCAGCCUCUUGCCAUUCAGGGUCCAGUCGUCUCCACGUCUGACCAGGCCACAAACUCCCAAGAAGAGCUCAAAGGCAGAUCCGUCUACUCUGGAUACUUCGCAUGAACUGGAUCACACAGUCAGCACGUGGCCUUGUGUGUUGGACUGCCUGCACUUCAAAUCAUGUUUUCCAGGCGCAUUCACAUCGCGGCGUGUGUCAGUACUUCAUUCCUUUUUUGUGGCUGAACAGCAUGGCGUUGUGUGGAUCGACGCUCUCUUGUUUAUCCAUUCAUUUGUGAAUGGACACUUGGGUUGUUUCCGCUCUGGGGCUAUUAUGAAUUAUGCUGCCGAGAACAUUCACGUACAAGUUUUUAUGUAGACAUAUGUUUUUGAUUCUUUAGGUACAGAGCUAGGAGUUCCUGAUUUUUAAUAAAAUAAUUUAAAAUGA